rnacentral:rRNA from 1 species
AACGAACGCUGGCGGCGUGGAUUAGGCAUGCAAGUCGAACGUGAAAGAGGGGGUAACGUCCUCGAGUAGAGUGGCGAACGGGUGAGUAACACGUGAGAAACCUGCCUUCAGCAGGGGGAGUAACACUCCCAACGGGGUGGCUAAUACCGCAUGAGACCACGGAUUCGCAUGGAUCUGGGGUCAAAAGGUGGCCUCUGCUUGCAAGCUACCGGCUGAAGAUGGUCUCGCGUCCCAUUAGCUAGUUGGUGGGGUAAUGGCCUACCAAGGCGACGAUGGGUAGGCUGGUCUGAGAGGAUGGUCAGCCACACUGGGACUGAGAUACGGCCCAGACUCCUACGGGAGGCAGCAGUCGAGAGGCUUUGGCAAU